rnacentral:rRNA from 1 species
GGAGCGGUUAGUGGCGGACUGGUGAGUAACGCGUAAGCAAUCUGCCUAUUAGAGGGGAAUAACAGUGAGAAAUCACUGCUAAUACCGCAUAUGCCAUGAACAUCGCAUGAUGAAAAUGGGAAAGGAGUAAUCCGCUAAUAGAUGAGCUUGCGUCUGAUUAACUAGUUGGUGUGGUAAUGGCAUACCAAGGUAACGAUCAGUAGCCGGACUGAGAGGUUGAACGGCCACAUUGGGACUGAGAUACGGCCCAGACUCCUACGGGAGGCAGCAGUCGGGAAUAUUGCGCAAUGGAGGAAACUCUGACGCAGUGACGCCGCGUAUAGGAUGAAGGUUUUCGGAUUGUAAACUAUUGUCAUUAGGGAAGAUAAAAGACAGUACCUAAGGAGGAAGCUCCGGCUAACUACGUGCCAGCAGCCGCGGUAAUACGUAGGGAGCAAGCGUUAUCCGGAUUUAUUGGGUGUAAAGGGUGCGUAGACGGGAAAUUAAGUUAGUUGUGAAAGCCCUUGGCUUAACUGAGGAACUGCAACUAAAACUGGUUUUCUUGAGUGCAGGAGAGGUAAGUGGAAUUCCUAGUGUAGCGGUGAAAUGCGUAGAUAUUAGGAGGAACACCAGUGGCGAAGGCGACUUACUGGACUGUAACUGACGUUGAGGCACGAAAGUGUGGGGAGCAAACAGGAUUAGAUACCCUGGUAGUCCACACCGUAAACGAUGGAUACUAGGUGUAGGAUGUGUUAAACAUUCUGUGCCGUCGCAAACGCAGUAAGUAUCCCACCUGGGGAGUACGGCCGCAAGGUUGAAACUCAAAGGAAUUGACGG